rnacentral:tRNA from 1 species
GACAGUAUAUUUAAAAUUUUAUAAUGAUUACUCUGCGAGUAAAAGUUGAAUAAAUGUAGUUCUACUGUUG